CUUGGACGUCAAUUUGCUCAAAUUCCUCUUCAGCAUGAGGCUGCUCUUCUUUCAACAGCAAACAAGCUGACACUGAAUCGACAGCGCAUCCGCUGAUUGCAGCCAGGUCCUUUCCAGACACUUUUAAUCACCUAAUCAAUUGUACGCAAUCAACGGAAUUGUUAAUGACCAAUUAAUUAUCGAAUCGAUUACAAUGGCAUCACCGUUUAGGAUACAGUGGGACCAUCCAAGUCUAACUAAAUCCAUUCUUGUAAUCUCUAAAUCUGAGUUACCUGCACGAAAUAACUAAAUCACAACUUAGAUGUGUCUGUAAAUAUUCCCCCAUCCAGGUAAUUUCAUCCACAGGGCAUUGAAUCGAUCGUAGCUGAACGAUUCUGCUCAUGUUAAAAGAUCCUCCACCUCUGAUCCGAACAAGCUUUUAUUCACAUAGACUAGUUGGGAGAUCUCUAGGCUGAGGUUUGGUGCGGAAACCCAACGAUUUAUCUUGAAAGAUAGAGGAGGCUGCGGACCGAUGGUUGGGGGACCUCUGCUUCAGAUGCUCUUUAUAGGUCUCAUGAGAUUGGCUUGACAUCUCACCAAUCAUGUUUGGGGGUAUUUCACUUGAGAUGUUCCACUGUAGCAUUAGUGAACAUGUACAUUUGCGUAAUGGAACGCGAGCUGCGGCCACAACUUCACACCAGACGGGCUGAACAUUCUCAACAAGCAACACCUAACAUAGGUGAUUAAAAAAGACCAACCAAGGAACAUAUACAUUAAUAUUCACUUGUUGUUGACCAGAAUUUCUUACUUUAGACAACAUCACCGAGCCGUGAGAUGUGCACACUAUUAUUUUUUAAGAUGUGCAAUGCACCUGAAAAAUGUGAGAAAUAAUUACAAGUCCUUAAAAGAAAACAACCAAAACAAACAAACAAACAAAAACAUAUUUACUUGAAUACAGAGACCCCCAGCCUCAUGCCGGCUCACUAACUGCUCAGAACAUGAAAAAAGUAAGAAAAAUACAUAAAAAAAAUAAAAUAACCGUUGGCCUUAUAUGCACUGAUUUUCUUUUGUAACUGUACAUCCGUAAUGCAAAUUUAUAAAACAAUGAGGGUUUUUUUCCCUACCUUUUUCAAGUACACAUACAAAUGGGUGAAAAUCUGCAUUGUGCAAUACACAUCAAGGUCUCCCCACUGAGACAAAUUUUCAUCUGAACACAUUAUCGCCCCCAUUAAAUCUUUGGGAAAUUGGUAGCAAGGCACAGACUUUAUUUACGGUUACUUCAGGGCGAUUCUGAGCUUGUGGGGUCUCUUAAAAUCCGUAACAAAAAGUUCACAGCUUGUGACAUGAAAUUUAGACGCGCCUUGUUUUCAGAUCAUCUUUGGACCUUCUUUGAUGCACCCCUGCUUAGUGUCAAUGCACAUGUGCGAUUUGCCACUGCAAAAGAAACUUCGUUGUUCUUGCGGAUUCAUAAAACCGUUCAGUUAUUUGAGGCUAUUCGGCAGUGGGGAAGCUUAAAAGCUGAGUGUAUCCAAGGCAAUGAAGGUUUGAAAGAAUGAUGGACUUGUGACCAUCAGAUGGAAAGAAAAAAAAAGAAGAAAUUUACUAAUAUUUUGUGAGUGAUAGAAGGAGAUAGGCAGUAAUGACUGUUCAUGACAUUAAAUAAUGCGCUCUAAAAUCUGCCAUUGCCAUCAUUAACCUUAAUGUUGCAGUCUUGUAUUUUACAGUUCAGGCCCGCUGUAAAUCAGUUUUUUUUUUCCCCAUCCCCUCUCAACAGCUGUUGCGAGCAGGGUUGAUAACAGCACGCCCACGCUGAUUAAAUUGCAAUCGAUUGCAGCAAAAUGUCAGGAAAUUCAAGGAUCUGCUACCAUUCGAUGUGCAUCUGUGGAAAGUUGAAGUUUGCAGGUGCCGACUCCUCGGCCGUGACCAGUCGAUGAGAGUCAAGAGGAUUGAAGACCUCUAUAGGGCACGGAACCGUAUUUUUGAUACGUGAGAGCUGAACAAUCAGCGAGACAGGAAGAUGCUGUGCUUAUUUCCAUGGCAGCCAUCAGCACUGAAGAGAAGCUCGCCAAUGAUACUGAUGAAGAGAUGUGCGUGCUUGGAAUCUCCAGGACAUCACACAGAGGUAUUGCCAUUGUUCUCUUCUGCUUCGCCCUGUUGAAGUCAUCGUGCCACAUAAAGUCCUUUUUUUUUUUGGGCCAACAAUAGGAGGGGACAUGUUUAUAUUUAUCCCGUAUAAAUUAAUUGUUAUUUUUUUGUGAUGAACACGUCGUACUUUAAUAAAUAAUCAACUGUGUUUGGCGACAUAAAUCAUAGCUCAGAUUUAUCACGUCUUUGAUUACAAGUAGAGGAGGAAGGUCAGGAUGAAGCCAGGAUGCUUUCAUCCUUCAUUCCUGCCAUUGGCUUGGUUUUUUUUUUGGUUGUUUUUGUUCAUUCUUAGUUCAUCUCUGAAUAAAAUAAGAACAAAAGUGAACAUGAAGUGACAAAAGUGUGCCAUGACUUUAAUAUUCACGUAAAUAAACCAAGCAUGGACAUCUUUUACAUUUGAUUGGGUAAUGUGGACAGAGCGGCGGAAAACAAAGAAUGUGGCCGUCUGUGAUCAAGAGAAUGAGAAAACGCCUAGCAACAUACCCGCACUGCAUCUGCCGUCUGCGAGAAGGAAUAAAUAUUCAGGGUGCAUGAUAGUAGGAGCUUCACAGGUGCAUAUAUUACCUGUAUCAAAGCAGCCAGGAGACUGGAGGAAUGGUAAAGGUAAAGAUAGAAAAGCAACGCUUCUUAACCCGCAAGCUUUUUGUCCUCAAGUAAAAAAUAACUAAAUCAACAAUCAAAUUGACAUGCUUAUUAAAUCAACAACAUUGACAUUUUGUAAUUUCGUUCAUACACACACAUACACACACAAAUGACACGACACAAAUCACUGAACCUAACGUAUUUUUGACAUAUAAUGCCGUCAAUGGCAGUGAAUGGGAUAUCAAGUGUCAGCGUUUAAGAAAUUACAAUGUGAAUGCCAAUCGUAGCCCCCAGUUUCAUCUUUUCACAUGAAAUGGUUUCGAGUAUUUCUCUCUUGAUGAAAAGUUGGAAUAGAUCAGAACCAAAAUAACACUUCUUGCGUGUGAUCGUGACUCAUUUGUGACGUGAGAAGAAUCAAAAGCAAAAUCGUGAAGCAAGCAAACACGCACUUGUUAACUGGGAAGGGGUUCUCAAAAAGGAAUGUUUUUCUAUUCCCACCCCGACAUGCUAGUCCAGGGGUGUCAAACUCAUUCUUGUCACGGGCUGUGCAUCUUCCUUCGGUGGGCCGAAACGACGAUACAACGGUGAAACAGAAUAAAUGUUUAUAUUAUAUUAUAUUAUUACUUGUACACAACUAAUUGAUGUAUUACCAAUUUUUGAAAACAGUCACAUUUUAGUAAUUUGUUCAAUUAUUGUUUGAGUGGGUGUUAACAGGGAACCUAAAUUAUUACAAAAAUCUCAACAUUAUUUAUUAUACAUGACCAUUUGACAUUUUGGUGCAAUUUUAGCAAGGAUCAUGGAGAUUGACGCAUCUGAUUUGCUUUCGCGGGCCACAUAAAAUGAUGUGGCAGGCCAGAUCUGGCCCACGGGCCUUGACUUUGACACCAGUGUGCUCGUCUAAUAUCAUCGUCUUUUACUGCUGUAAAUUAUUUUAUCGGUGUCGGACUGAAACAUGUCAUGUCAAAAAUGUUCUUUUUUUAAUUUUUCACAAAUUUAAACUAUUGGUCAGUGUAUGUGCUUUAAACUGUUUAAAAAAGGUCUUGUGCUCUUUAAUGACACAUUAGUAAUGCCUUUUUGUUUGGUCUCCUGAAAAGUGAUGAUUUUUUUGUUGUUGUUUUUUUGCGGUGGAAGGAUUUUGCCUCAUACCUGCGAUUGAUAAAAUAAAAUGAAUAGAAGGAGGGCUGCUGUUUGACCUAAGGAUGAAUAAAUUCCAUUUAUAUGACAUUCGACCGGAAUAAUUGAUUCAAACCUCGAACAAAUCGGAUCGUGUUUACCGACUGAAGUUUGGGCGGGCAACCGCAGUAAAUUCUUACGCUUUAGGCAUCGUUUAUCUAAUCGAGGUUUACCUUUUCAACCUGCGAAAAGGAAACACAGAAUCGCGGCUCUCUUUUAAUAAACGCAAUGCGCCACCUUAUCUCACUUAUACAGCGGGAUCCACGAAAUUCCUCGCACGGCGCCGUAGCGCAUGUAAAUAUACAGUGGGCGCCAAUGUGCAAGACAUCUCUUUCAAUAUCUCUCUGUAUGAUUGGCCUUAGAACUCUGCACUGAAUCACAUUUAAGAAAUGUACUGCAAAAAUUGUGAUUGAAUUUACACCCCCUACGGAGACAAGUGUGGUCUUCCAUAAUUCCCCACGGUGCACACACACAAGGGAGGAGGGGGGCGGAGGGAUUCACAAUCUCGCUCUUUCUUUCUCUUCCUCUGGCAGCCAACAGAGUGUUGCUGCUGUCCCUGCCCUCCCCGAGCCGACAACGUCCAAGCACUUCAUAGCAAUGUAAAUGGUGUGGAAAGUUGCGCGUAGGGAGCUGAUGACCAGAGCCGUUCUCCUCUAAGGCUCGUACGAGCAAAUGAAAGCCAUCGCCUCCUCGCUCGAGCCCGCCGUUAGCCUUUAUCUCACCUGCGAGGCUUGGCUCUCAUAUUUGCUGUUUGUCUCCACUCCCGCUAAAUAUAUCAAUCCCGAGCAGGUCGGGUGGGUCGCGGCAGCCUGGCAAUCAUCUGCGAUUGCACUCUUGGCAGUCGUUUCAGUCGUAAUUAAACUUUAAUAUACCUAUUUUUAGUUGUAAAACCGACCAAUAAUAACUUAGAAGCACUUUGAGGGGCGAGAGGUGGAAGCACACCCGCCACAAAUACCUGUGAGCAUCUGUCACGCUGUCAUGUUAAGUCAAGGCAUGCGUGAAAGCGCGUUCAAAUGGAGGCCUGAUCAAAAGAGACGCAGGCAGACAAACACUUUGCCAUGCGUAUGAGUUUGUUUGAUGCCUAAAUCAGAUGCGGCAUUUUUGAACAUUCCCCCUUCACACAUCGGACCCUUUUAUCCUUUAAAGCUCGCUUUUACCUGGCACUCUGCGACACCGGCUCAAGGCACCUGCCAUGUAAAGCCAGCGGCAGCCGCAAUCUCAAUCAAAAUGGAAAAAAAAAAAAAAAAAGAA